GGAGAGGUGGCAGAGUGGUCGAAUGCGCGCGCUUGGAAAGCGCGUGUUUCCGCAAGGGAACCGGGGGUUCGAAUCCCUCCCUCUCCGCCA
rnacentral:tRNA from 2 species